GAUGAAAGACAGGCAUUCUGGAGGGUUGGGGGGGUUGUAAAGCCAAAACUUGGCAUGGGGUGCAUUCUCAGUACUAAUGUGCAUUGUUUGUAGUCAUUGCGUUAUUAUUCGUCAACAUGCUUCCUGGUCCUACAGUAGCGUUAUAUGCUUUUUUAUUUCUUUUUGCCUUUUUAGCUGCUAAGCUAGGUAACAGUCAUUGCAAAGUGCACAUUUGUAAAUGAUUUCUCCUGAGGAUCACUGCUGAGCCACCCAUGGAGUGUGCCUUGAGGAGGGAUGUGUCAUGUGGAAUCUAGGACCAUCCAGCAAGGAUGAUUGCCUGGUCACAUGGCUGGAACAGUCAGACUCUUAACAGCAUUCCCCUAAAAAUUUCGUGACUGAUGCUGAAGUGGAAGCCAGCCAGUGCAAACGUUUGGGGAAAUAACAUCUGAAGAAUGCAAAGGGAAAUAGGAAUUCCUCUAGCGUUCCCAUCCUGCCUUGUCCUGCCUGCCUUCCACUCAACAGGGAGAGGAAAAGACCCGGGCUCAUGGAAUUUUCCAGCUCAGCGUUACAGCUGUUUGGUGUUCUUAGGAAAGGUACUGAGAAGGUG
rnacentral:lncRNA from 1 species